rnacentral:rRNA from 1 species
UACGUAGGAGGCGAGCGUUGUCCGGAAUCACUGGGUGUAAAGCGCGUGUAGGCGGCCUGCCAAGUCUGCUGUGAAAGCGCCUGGCUUAACCGGGCGAGGUCGGUGGAAACUGGCGGGCUGGAGGUCGGUAGAGGGGGGUGGAAUUCCCGGUGUAGUGGUGAAAUGCGUAGAGAUCGGGAGGAACACCAGUGGCGAAGGCGGCCCCCUGGGCCGUACCUGACGCUGAGACGCGAAAGCGUGGGGAGCAAACAGG